CCUACGGGUGGCAGCAGUGAGGAAUAUUGGUCAAUGGGCGGGAGCCUGAACCAGCCAAGCCGCGUGAGGGAAGAAGGUACAGCGUAUCGUAAACCUCUUUUGUCAGGGAACAAAGGCGGGGACUAGUCCCCGGCUGAGGGUACCUGAAAAAAAAACAUCGGCUACCUCCUUGCCAGCAGCCGCGUUAAUCCGGAGGACGCGAGCGUUAUCCGGUUUUAGGGGGUUAAAGGGAGCCGCAGGGGGCCUGUUAGGCCUGCGGUAAAAGCCCGGGGCUCAACCCAGGCCAGCCGGUGAAACUGGCGGGCUGGAGUGGGAGAGAGGUACGCGGAAUGCGCGGUGUAGCGGUGAAAUGCGUAGAUAUCGCGCAGAACCCCGAUUGCGAAGGCAGCGUACCGGAUCCAGACUGACGCUGAGGCACGAAAGCGUGGGUAUCGAACAGGAUUAGAUACCCGGGUAGUC
rnacentral:rRNA from 1 species